GACGAACGCUGGCGGCGUGCUUAACACAUGCAAGUCGAGCGGAGCGGCGAACGGGUGAGUAACGCGUGAGUAACUGCCCCCCUCUCUGGGAUAACAGUUGGAAACCGCUGCUAAUACCGGCUAGUGGGGGUUGACUCGCGUCCUAUCAGCUUGUUGGUGGGGUGGUGGCCUACCAAGGCGACGACGGGUAGCCGGCCUGAGAGGGCGAACGGCCACAUUGUGCUGAGAUACGGCCCAGACGCCUACGGGAGUGAGCAGUGGGGGAUAUUGCACAAUGGGCGAAGGACUGAUGCAGCGACGCCGCGUGGGGGAUGAAGGCUUUCGGGUUGUAAACCUCUUUCGCUAUCGAAAGGGUAGGUGGAGAAGAAGCGCCGGCUAACUACGUGCCAGCAGCCGCGGUAAUAC
rnacentral:rRNA from 1 species